rnacentral:lncRNA from 1 species
CAAAGACCAUAGCUGCUGAGUCAUUGCUAGAUGGACUUCUAAAGGCACCACUCAAGGCCUUGAGGAGAUUGAAUCAGAACUUUGUAACCAGUAAGAAGGAAAUUAAUAUAAUAGAUCACAAGGGAAUAAACAAACUUAUCUUUGGAUAUUUGAAAGGGUUUGUUAGAUUCUGCAGAACUUAUUAUAGGAUGUUUAGAGGAAAGACUAAAGGGAAGGUACACAAGGGGUCAAAAUAAAUUGGGAAGAACGAAUGUGUAAAGAAUAGAGAUAAAAGUGGCAGAGUGCAUGUAAGCAAAUUUAUGGUUAAUAUACUUGUCUGACCUGAUUACCAUAGUCUGUCUUCCCAUUAAACUCUAUUCCUAAUUUUCUCCUUGUGCAUCACGAUAGCAAAAUUCAAGUUGCUGUAGCUAUUAAAUAGGUUAAGAGGUCUGGGCUGUUAGCACAGGUUUGGAAAAUGUGCAGUGAAGCACUCAGUAUGUUUCUUAAGUCAUAUACCAUUAUCUAUUUAAAAUAAUUUUGAAAAUUACAUGUGGGUAGGAGGAGUCUUAAAGCUUUUCCUAAAGCUGUGCAAUGAUCAAAAUGAUUUUUAUAUGUAUGAUCUGAGGUACAUUUAAGUCUCAUUCACCCCAUUUUAAUAUCUGGAGACAGUGAAUCACUUAUGCUUAGCCUCUAAACUUGCAACAGAAGUGUGUGAAACAUGCUCCUAUAACCAGACAGCUACAUUCCCUGUUUAACACUUUUGUCUUACUCUUUUUCUUUUAAAAGGCAGCCUUAUGGUCCUAAUGUUACCUAUGCAUUAACUUUGAGGACUUUUUUAAGAGCAGACACCCGGAUUUUGUCUCUUAAGUAGCCUAAAACAGGGCUAAGUAAACAACUCCCAACAUAGUUUAAGUUGGAGUGGAUGGGAGCUGCCUCUGAAUUUUCUGUUGAAGCCAGACCCCUUUUCAUCCAGAAAGUUCAGAUUCACAAAUUCCUGUAGAAAGCCUCAUGAAGUAGAAUAUUUAUGCAUCUACUAAGUAGCACUCUUGUCUGUGAACAAAAAGGCCUCAUGUUUUGAUGAAUUUGUUCAUUUUAUAUAUUUU